AAUAUUCCUGGAACAAGCAAAACAAAUGUAACAUGUAUCAAGUAUCAUGAUGUGAACUGAAGCUGUGUAAUGACAUGCAACUCUUUUUCUCUGAUCCAGAACAUUUUCUGUGAAAUUGCUGAAUUGCUCUGUGAAAUGUUCUGUGUACACUGUCAACACACUGGCAUCCAAAAUAAACAUCAUGUGCUAAUCCAAGAUCUUAUGAAAUGUCUGACCAAAAUGGGUUCACAGGUUGCAGAUGUGCCUGGAUGCUUUCGGCCUGUCUGAGGGCCUGUCUCUGCUCCCCUUCCAGCACCUCUUCUGCCCCUUUUCUGGCCUCCUCUACGGAUGUCUGCAGCCUGGCAAACUGCUGUUCGACAGUGACACAAACCUCCUGCACUGAUGACUGAGGGGCAAAGAGGAAAGAAAAAAAUCUGAAUGCAGUUGUGUGCCCUUCAUGCUCCUGAUUCUCACAGUCCAGACACAUGCAGCAGCCGUCUUUCAGACAGAAGCGUUUGAGAGGAAGUUGAUGAACUUCACAGGUCCGGCAGUCGAUGUCAUGGAGGGGAUCCACCA